GCCUAGGCCCUUUUAAGGGCCACUUUGUAGCCCUAAUAAAAUAUUC
rfam:Myotis brandtii contig152819, whole genome shotgun sequence.